GGGGAAAAUUCUCAGACAGCUUCAGCUGACAGAGCUGUGACGAGACGCCCGCCAAGCCCGAAUGAAAAGUAAGGUCAAGCAAAAGGAUGCUGAUCUUGAUAACUCUGCAUUAACACUGUGCAGGACAGUGAUGGACCAACACGCAUGAUCGGGCAGCAAAAAGGGGCGCGACAGAGACAGGAGGAGUAACUGAGGUCAAAAGGCACCUCAGAAUGGACAAAAUACAGGAGAAGAAGAUGCAGGUUUCACCUACGGUGAGCAUGGACAUUGGAGAAAGGACUGCCCCAAUUGGGGUUAGAACCAGGACGGACUGAACUUUGAGCAGCAGCAGCAGCAAUGGUCGCAAACAGACUGAAAAGGAGGAGGGCAGGACCCCAGGGCACGCUUCAGGCUGUGGUUUACCCAAGACACCAGAACAGGAAAGUGAUGAACACACACACACACACACACGCACAUUGGAAUGCUGAUUCACUGAGAAGUGAUCCACACACAUACACACACACAUACACAUACACAUGCACACGCUUGUGCAACGAAGAGUGAUGCGCGCACACACACAUACACGCUGACGCAAUGAAGAAUGCUUUGCUAACAAAUGCUUAUGCUGAUAUGCAAAAUGCUGCACACAAAUAUCCCAAUACAUAGUUUUUAUGAGGGGCCAUUGAUUAUCGUUGAUUACUUAAAAUGUGUUUUAUGUCACCCAGAGUACAUUUAUGUAGAUUUUAGGGGUAAGGUCUGAAACAGUUUGGUUAUGAAAACAAUGUCUGUGUGUGAUGUCUGUUUAUGGUUCAAGGCCUUGACUGAAUUCUUUGCUGUGCUUCACACAGCCUGAUGAGGAGCAGAGGCACAGAGUGAAAAUGAUGAAUUAAUAGUGUAAGUUUUAGGUCGAAGUACUGCAUUUUCUGUGAUUGAAAUUUAAUUCAAGGAGGAACAAAAGGUGUUACGUGCACUGAGGAAAAUCUGAGAGGUGAUCCACCGGUGGUGAUAUUUUGUGAGUUCAUGAUUUAACAAUCAGCUCUUUAAACCAGGCCUGAAAGAUUGAGAUUUAAAGCGCUAUAAAAUAUUAUUACUGUAAACAGUUGCAAAGUUUGCUUCUCCAUGAUUGUAAUUGGCUUGAGAGAAAUUCACUUAUAUGGGACACUGAUCACGUGAGAAGUCCUGAGUCUAAAAUGAUUGCAGCGAGUCAAUCCAGUCCGAAAAACAAAGAAUUGUUUUCUUUUUAAAACGAUGACGUCAUCUUGCUGGUGAUGGAUGCUCGAAUAGGUCACGCGUGAGACUCCAUUAUCAGCAACAUCUGGUAUGAAUGUGUGUGAAUGAAUGCAUGUGACUGGACUGGGAUGGAC
ensembl:lncRNA